ensembl:lincRNA
CUGCUGAAUUAGCCCAUAUUCUUUUCUACUGUGCCCACAUGUGCUUUGCCUGGUUUUAAUUUGUAUAAUUGCUCGAACCUACAUUUCCUUUGUUAUAGGUAUGUGAUUUCAGACCUCUGGCCUCUGCACCUGUUAAAGUCUGGAGUGCUCAGCUCUGUCCCUCAUGGAGUAGGUGCACCCCUCUCUAAGAGGAGCCUUUUCAUGCUCUUGAGGGCACUUGGGAAACUGUUUUGGGAGGUUAUUGUCCCUGUCAGUGGAAGAUGUAAAGAACGUAGCCAACCAAGUAAGAGGAUCACAAAGCCACUGUGUGUGUUAAAGCUGGGGCUUAGUUCCUCUUUCUGGCACGGGAACAUGGAAAACCUCCACCUCUGCUGCUGUAGGGGUGGGUGAAGACGA